rnacentral:misc_RNA from 1 species
UAGAGGAAAAGAUAAUCUUCAGUCUGCUGCUUCUAAGGGUACUAUGGUCCCCCCAUCUGAUGUGUCUCUUCCUCCUACUGAUCAUCCUAAGCCUAUUAUAAAUGGUCCCAAGGCUCCUCCUCCUGUGCAGAAGAAGCUAGAGCUGGAACAAUUGAGGGAUGAGCUCCGCAAGAAGCAGGAGUUGCUGGACCAGAAGCGAAAUGACUUCCGGCGCCAAUUGGACAAACUCGAGAAACAAGCUACAGGAGUUAAAGGUGAGGUAGUGGCUGAGCCUGCUUC